AUUGAACGCUGGCGGCAGGCCUAACACAUGCAAGUCGAACGAGUGGCGGACGGGUGAGUAAUGUCUGGGAAACUGCCCGAUGGAGGGGGAUAACUACUGGAAACGGUAGCUAAUACCGCAUACCAUCGGAUGUGCCCAGAUGGGAUUAGCUAGGUGGUGGGGUAACGGCUCACCUAGGAGACGAUCCCUAGCUGGUCUGAGCGGAUGACAAGCCCCACCGGAACGGAGCCACGGUCCAGACUCCUACGGGAGGCAGCGGUGGGGAAUAUGGCAUAAUGGGCGCAAGCUUGAUAUAACCCUGCCGCGUGUCUGGAGAAGUGCUUCGGGUUGUAAAGUACUUUCAGUGAGGAGGCGUUACUCGCAGAAGAAGCACCGGCUAACUCCGUGCCAGCAGCCGCGGUAAUAC
rnacentral:rRNA from 1 species